GACGAACCGUGCAAACGUUAUUCGGAAUCACUGGGCUUAAAGGGCGCGUAGGCGGGCCGCCCGGUCCGGGGUGAAAUCCUCCAGCUCAACUGGAGAAGUGCCUUGGAUACCGGCGGCCUCGAGGGAGGCAGGGGCGUGCGGAACUUCGGGUGGAGCGGUGAAAUGCGUAGAUAUCCGAAGGAACACCGGUGGCGAAAGCGGCGCGCUGGACCUCUUCUGACGCUGAGGCGCGAAAGCGUGGGGAGCGAACAGG
rnacentral:rRNA from 1 species